AGUGAACGCUGGCGGCGUGCUUAACACAUGCAAGUCGAACGAGAACGGAAUAUAGCUUGCUAUAUUUGUCAGCUAAGUGGCGCACGGGUGAGUAAUGUAUAGAUAACCUGCCCUUAAGAAAGGAAUAACAGUUGGAAACGACUGCUAAUGCCCUAUAUGCCUUUAAUACAUAAGUAUGCAAGGGAAACGCUUUAGUGCUUAAGGAUGGGUCUGUAUGGUAUCAGCUUGUUAGUGAGGUAAUGGCUCACCAAGGCUAUGACGCCUAACUGGUUUGAGAGGAUGAUCAGUCACACUGGAGCUGAGACACGGUCCAGACUCCUACGGGAGGCAGCAGUGGGGAAUAUUGCACAAUGGACGAAAGUCUGAUGCAGCAACGCCGCGUGGAGGAUGACACAUUUCGGUGCGUAAACUCCUUUUAUAUAGGAAGAUAAUGACGGUACUAUAUGAAUAAGCACCGGCUAACUCCGUGCCAGCCGCCGCGGUAA
rnacentral:rRNA from 1 species